rnacentral:sRNA from 1 species
GCUGGGCGAGGUGGCGCAUACCUGUAAUCCCAGCAGCUCAGGAGGUUGAGACAGGAGGAUCAUGAGUUCAAAGCCAGUCUCAGCAAAAGUGAGGUGCUAAGCAACUCAGUGAAACCCUGUCUUUA